AAAAAAUAAAAGAAAUUUGUUUUUAGUAUUAUAUUGUGGCUAAUGAAGGAGUUAAAAAGUCCUUCCAGUCAGUUGCAACAACAAUUAAAGCAGCAGGAAACAGCCAAGUACACAUGCAAGUGAUUGUUAUGAGGAUUGCAAAACUUUUAAAUAUCAGAAACUGAAGAAAGCAUUGAUAAUCAGCAGAUAUCAAAAAAGCACAAAAGUACUGAUUAUACAACUCUUUUAAAGUUAAACCAUCACCACUUCCACAGCCACCUUGUCUCAAGCAUUAAAUCGCAUUCUAAGAUAUCUUUAUUCAAAUUAAGUGUGACUACUUUACCAAAAGACUCUAGAAUGGACCAAUCAACUAACCCAUCAGUACUUGCAAAGUCUCCUUUUCUGUAAGCCCAAAAAUUGAGUUCUAAAAUACCAUUAUCCACAUAACUACUAUAUCAAAGUACAAUCUAAUGGAUUGAUCAAUGAAACUGUCGGUAUCUCCACAACUUUUCAAUUAAAUAGAAAGUUUCAAUUAAACAGGAUACUGAGUGUGCCAGUGUGCCUACUGCUCCUCAAGACAAUGAAUAAUGGGAGUU
rnacentral:lncRNA from 1 species